UUUCCGUAGGUGAACCUGCGGAAGGAUCAUUAUUGAAUGAAACACUUCUGGCCUUAUUCUGUUUUGCUGGCCCGUUGGGCAAUGUGCACACGGCUCUGGUCACUUGUUUCUUCUGUUCCACCUGUCCCCUGCCUGUAGACACGCUGUGUCUAUGAUAUUUGUUAACACACAACAAUGUUACUUGGCAUGUUAUAUAUAAUAAUAAAAUAUACAACUUUCAACAACGGAUCUCUUGGCUCUC
rnacentral:misc_RNA from 1 species